UGCCCAGCAAGUCCUAUCCAUACCUCUACGCGGUACUGGCCGGGGUACGAACAACCUUAAGGAAGAUCGGGUAACCAAUCCCGGUGGGAUCUUUGGUCGUAUGUUAACAGGGAAGA
rnacentral:ribozyme from 1 species